CAGGAAUAGAAAGAAAAAGAGAAAGAAAAAGAAAAAAGGGAAGGUGGAGUCAAGAAUGGGUAUCUCUGUCCAUCAAAUUCUUGCUCCUCCUCUUAAGG